UGGGGAAUAUUGGACAAUGGGGGCAACCCUGAUCCAGCAAUGCCGCGUGUGUGAAGAAGGCCUUCGGGUUGUAAAGCACUUUUGUCCGGAAAGAAAUCCUUGGCUCUAAUACAGUCGGGGGAUGACGGUACCGGAAGAAUAAGCACCGGCUAACUACGUGCCAGCAGCUGCGGUAAUACGUAGGGUGCAAGCGUUAAUCGGAAUUACUGGGCGUAAAGCGUGCGCAGGCGGUUUGCUAAGACCGAUGUGAAAUCCCCGGGCUCAACCUGGGAACUGCAUUGGUGACUGGCAGGCUAGAGUAUGGCAGAGGGGGGUAGAAUUCCACGUGUAGCAGUGAAAUGCGUAGAGAUGUGGAGGAAUACCGAUGGCGAAGGCAGCCCCCUGGGCCAAUACUGACGCUCAUGCACGAAAGCGUGGGGAGCAAACAGGAUUAGAUACCCUGGUAGUCCACGCCCUAAACGAUGUCAACUAGUUGUUGGGGAUUCAUUUCCUUAGUAACGUAGCUAACGCGUGAAGUUGACCGCCUGGGGAGUACGGUCGCAAGAUUAAAACUCAAAUGAAUUGACGG
rnacentral:rRNA from 1 species